GAUCCUGGCUCAGGACGAGCGCUGGCGGCGUGCCUAACACAUGCAAGUUGAACGGAGAAUUUUAUUUCGGUAGAAUUCUUAGUGGCGAACGGGUGAGUAACGCGUAGGCAACCUACCCUUUAGAUGGGGACAACAUUCCGAAAGGAGUGCUAAUACCGGAUGUGAUCAUCGUGCCGCAUGGCAGGAUGAAGAAAGAUGGCCUCUACAAGUAAGCUAUCGCUAAAGGAUGGGCCUGCGU
rnacentral:rRNA from 1 species